rnacentral:rRNA from 1 species
CCUACGGGUGGCAGCAGUGAGGAAUCUUGGUCAAUGGACGCAAGUCUGAACCAGCCAUGCCGCGUGCAGGAAGACGGCCCUAUGAGGUGUAAACUGCUUUUGUACGAGGGUAAACGCAGAUACGCGUAUCUGUCUGAAUGUACCGUACGAAUAAGGAUCGGCUAACUCCGUGCCAGCAGCCGCGGUAAUACGGAGGAUUCAAGCGUUAUCCGGAUUUAUUGGGUUUAAAGGGUGCGUAGGCGGUCGGAUAAGUUAGAUGUGAAAUCCCGGGGCUCAACUUCGGAAUUGCCUCUGAUACUGUUAGGCUAGAGAGUAGUUGCGGUAGGCGGAAUGUAUGGUGUAGCGGUGAAAUGCUUAGAGAUCAUACAGAACACCGAUUGCGAAGGCAGCUUACCAAGCUACUUCUGACGUUGAGGCACGAAAGCGUGGGGAGCAAACAGGAUUAGAUACCCGGGUAGUC